UACAGAGGGUGCGAGCGUUAAUCGGAAUUACUGGGCGUAAAGCGCACGUAGGUGGCGACGUAAGUCGGGUGUGAAAGCCCCGGGCUCAACCUGGGAAUUGCAUUCGAGACUGCAUUGCUGGAGUACGGAAGAGGAAGGCGGAAUUCCCGGUGUAGCGGUGAAAUGCGUAGAUAUCGGGAGGAACAUCAGUGGCGAAGGCGACUCGCUGGACAGACAUUGACGCUGAGGUGCGAAAGCGUGGGGAGCAAACAGG
rnacentral:rRNA from 1 species